rnacentral:rRNA from 1 species
UACGUAGGGUGCGAGCGUUAAUCGGAAUUACUGGGCGUAAAGCGUGCGCAGGCGGUUGGAUAAGUCAGAUGUGAAAUCCCCGGGCUCAACCUGGGAACUGCAUUUGAGACUGCCCAGCUGGAGUUUGGCAGAGGGGGGUGGAAUUCCACGUGUAGCAGUGAAAUGCGUAGAGAUGUGGAGGAACACCGAUGGCGAAGGCAGCCCCCUGGGCCAAUACUGACGCUCAUGCACGAAAGCGUGGGGAGCAAACAGG